rnacentral:rRNA from 1 species
GUGUCAGCAGCCGCGGUAACACGUAGGAGGCGAGCGUUAUCCGGAUUUACUGGGUGUAAAGCGCGAGCAGGCGGUUUUGUAAGUUGGGUGUGAAAGCUCCUGGCUUAACUGGGAGAGGUCGCUCAAGACUGCAAGACUAGAGCAUGGUAGAGGAAGGUGGAAUUCCGGGUGUAGUGGUGAAAUGCGUAGAGAUCCGGAGGAACACCAGUGGCGAAAGCGGCCUUCUGGGCCAUGACUGACGCUCAGACGCGAAAGCCAGGGGAGCAAACGGGAUUAGAUACCCCCGUAGUCC